rnacentral:rRNA from 1 species
CGAGCGAGCUUGCCUAGACGAUUUUAGUGCUUGCACUAAAUGAAACUAGAUACAAGCGAGCGGCGGACGGGUGAGUAACACGUGGGUAACCUGCCCAAGAGACUGGGAUAACACCUGGAAACAGAUGCUAAUACCGGAUAACAACACUAGACGCAUGUCUAGAGUUUGAAAGAUGGUUCUGCUAUCACUCUUGGAUGGACCUGCGGUGCAUUAGCUAGUUGGUAAGGUAACGGCUUACCAAGGCAAUGAUGCAUAGCCGAGUUGAGAGACUGAUCGGCCACAUUGGGACUGAGACACGGCCCAAACUCCUACGGGAGGCAGCAGUAGGGAAUCUUCCACAAUGGACGAAAGUCUGAUGGAGCAACGCCGCGUGAGUGAAGAAGGGUUUCGGCUCGUAAAGCUCUGUUGGUAGUGAAGAAAGAUAGAGGUAGUAACUGGCCUUUAUUUGACGGUAAUUACUUAGAAAGUCACGGCUAACUACGUGCCAGCAGCCGCGGUAAUACGUAGGUGGCAAGCGUUGUCCGGAUUUAUUGGGCGUAAAGCGAGUGCAGGCGGUUCAAUAAGUCUGAUGUGAAAGCCUUCGGCUCAACCGGAGAAUUGCAUCCCCAACUGUUGAACUUGAGUGCAGAAGAGGAGAGUGGAACUCCAUGUGUAGCGGUGGAAUGCGUAGAUAUAUGGAAGAACACCAGUGGCGAAGGCGGCUCUCUGGUCUGCAACUGACGUUGAGGCUCGAAAGCAUGGGUAGCGAACAGGAUUAGAUACCCUGGUAGUCCAUGCCGUAAACGAUGAGUGCUAAGUGUUGGGAGGUUUCCGCCUCUCAGUGCUGCAGCUAACGCAUUAAGCACUCCGCCUGGGGAGUACGACCGCAAGGUUGAAACUCAAAGGAAUUGACGGGGGCCCGCACAAGCGGUGGAGCAUGUGGUUUAAUUCGAAGCAACGCGAAGAACCUUACCAGGUCUUGACAUCCAGUGCAAACCUAAGAGAUUAGGUGUUCCCUUCGGGGACGCUGAGACAGGUGGUGCAUGGCUGUCGUCAGCUCGUGUCGUGAGAUGUUGGGUUAAGUCCCGCAACGAGCGCAACCCUUGUCAUUAGUUGCCAUCAUUAAGUUGGGCACUCUAAUGAGACUGCCGGUGACAAACCGGAGGAAGGUGGGGAUGACGUCAAGUCAUCAUGCCCCUUAUGACCUGGGCUACACACGUGCUACAAUGGACGGUACAACGAGAAGCGAACCUGCGAAGGCAAGCGGAUCUCUUAAAGCCGUUCUCAGUUCGGACUGUAGGCUGCAACUCGCCUACACGAAGCUGGAAUCGCUAGUAA